GCCGGCUCGGGAGCUUCGGCCGCGCGGGAGCGCCGGCCGGGUGUCCAGCGCCAGACAGGCUUCGUCGUCCUCCACCCUCGGCGAGGGGAGCGGCCGGGCUCGGGUCCGGAGGCUCGCGAGGAGCCGCUGGCCCUGUGAGUCAGUGCCUGUGCGGGGCUGAAGAAGGAAAGGAGAGGCCCCCAGCGCCCCAGCCCCACACUCGCUGAAUACCAAGCUGCAGCGAGCUGCCGGGUGCUUUUUUUUUUUUUUAAUCUCCUCCGAUUCGGAGUAGAAGAUCCACACUGCUUUCCUUCCAGGGGAGGGGAGGGGCAGGGCCCGAGGUCCCAAGUCGCACACAAGUCUUCGCUGCCAUGGGGGCCGUCAUGGGCACCUUCUCCUCUCUGCAAACCAAACAAAGACGACCCUCGAAAGGAAGGUUUCUAUCCCAACACAUCCCUGCUUUCAAACAUUGUCCCUACACACACACACACAGGUACAGACACACACACACACACACAGAGGUACACACACACACACAGAUUUCCCAAAGACCCUUCAUCCUCCUUCCUCUGUUGCAAUGUCACAACACACUGUGAACACAUCAAGAAAGGUCUUCUGAAUCCUUGGCAGGAGUUAUCGUCAAAUAGCAGAGCCCACACCCCAGAGGUACACAAAUGUUCAUCAGAAAUUCGGAAAGAAGUCAUUGGCCUCUUUCCCGGCUGGAACCAUGGAGGGUGCAGAAGAGAAGAAAAAGAA
rnacentral:lncRNA from 1 species